rnacentral:rRNA from 1 species
GUCGAACGCUGGCGGCGGGCUUAACACAUGCAAGUCGAACGGAAAGGCCCUGCUUUUGUGGGGUGCUCGAGUGGCGAACGGGUGAGUAACACGUGAGUAUCCUGCCCUUGACUUUGUGAUAACUUCAGGAAACCGCGGCUACUACCGGAUAGGAGCUCCUGCUGCAUGGUGGGGGUUGGAAAGUUUCGGCGGUUGGGGAUGGACUCGGGGCUUAUCAGCUUGUUGGUGGGGAACUGGCCUACCAGGCUUUGCCGGGUAGCCGGCAUGAGAGGGUGACCGGCGACAUUGGGACUGAGAGACGGCGCAGACUCCUACGGGAGGCAGCAGUGGGGAAUAUUGCACAAUGGGCGGAAGCCUGAUGCAGCAGCGCCGCGUGCGGGAUGACGGCCUUCGGGUUGUAAACCGCUUUAGCCUGUGACGAAGCGUGAGUGACGGUACUGGGUAAAGAAGCACCGGCUAACUACGUG